rnacentral:rRNA from 1 species
AUUGAACGCUGGCGGCAGGCCUAACACAUGCAAGUCGAACGAGUGGCGGACGGGUGAGUAAUGUCUGGGAAACUGCCUGAUGGAGGGGGAUAACUACUGGAAACGGUAGCUAAUACCGCAUACCAUCGGAUGUGCCCAGAUGGGAUUAGCUAGUAGGGGGGGUAAAGGCUCACCUAGGCGACGAUCCCUAGCUGGUCUGCGAGGAUGACCGGCCACACUGGAAAGGAGACAGGGUCCAGACUCCUACGGGAGGCAGCAGUGGGGAAUAUCGCACAAUGGGCGCAAGCCUGAUGCAGCCAUGCCGCGUGUAUGAAGAAGGCAUUCGGGUUGUAAAGUACUUUCAGCGGGGAGGCGUUACCCGCAGAAGAAGCACCGGCUAACUCCGUGCCAGCCGCCGCGGUAAUUC